GGUUUCAUGGUGUAGCGGAUAUCACGUCUAAUUUACACGCAGAAGGCCCUGAGUUCGAUUCUCAGUGAAACCA
rnacentral:tRNA from 1 species